GGUAGACCUGUCGGAGAUGGCAACGAGCAGUCUCAUCAAACCAAUCCUGGUAAUCCUAACCAAAAUCAAACAUCCAGAACUUUGACUCAAAAUCGUCAACCCCGCAUUUCUCAUGGUCAGCCCUCUGUGCCCCGCACCCCCAGUAACACCCCACAGACCCCUAAUACUCCUGUAGACAGUCCACCCAGCAGUGUUCAGUCCUCCCAACAAGAUCUCACCAGUCAGCUACAAAAUCUUAACCUGCAAAGUGAUGACUCUGACACGAAUGAUGUGGCAAUGGUGAGGCAUGUCCCAACAGGAAGUAAUGAAAAUAGCCCUCCGUCGUCUAGAACCCGGAGUCAUGACACAGUCCGUCCAACAAACCCAAGGAGUAAUAGGAGCGAUCAGAAUGAACAGUACAGUGAUUCUGAUUCCAGUGAUGAAGAUAUUGUGUGAAACCUUAGAAUUCAUGUUGUGAGUUAGUGGAAGAUAUAUAUUGUAAACUUUGCCAUAAUAGGAAAAACAAAAAGGUAAUAUUUUCUCGUUUUCGGGGAAAAUUAAUUACCUGUAUUAUUCAUUUUGUAGACUGUGGUUCACUAAAUAGUCGCAAUAGAAAAUACUUUGUAGACAAAAUAUUGAUCUUUAUGUUGAUCUAUAAGAAGCCUUAUCAGUCACAGUGUUUUGUUGGUACAUGUAUUAUACAGUAGCAUAUAGAGAAGUUCUUUAGAUAUUUUGUAGAUUUAUUUCUUUAGUUUACCAUUCCAUCAUUAGCAUUGGAAAUCUCUUUGAUUUGAUUUUCCUAAAUUAAAACAAAUUUUUUUAAUAGUUUUGUAAAUCAUGGUUUAUUAGGGCAUAUUUAUUUGUACCGAAUUUCAUGUCUCAGUAUUGUUACACCUAUUUAUAUUGACAUGAGAUGUGCAAAACAUAUACCAUUAAUUUAUUGUUAUUUUCUGUUCCUACACCUGCAUGCAACUAGAGCUCUUGUUUUAGUUUUGUUUAGCUGAAAUUGUGUACAUAUAUAUUGCAUCUGCAAUUGUUUAAGUCACCAGUACCAUUAAUUACAGGGGCAUUUUUAAAAAAAAUUAUAUCAGAAUUUCUUUUAACUGUACAAUUCUUAUUCAAUUCCAGGUGUUUAUUUUUUAAAAAUGAAUGGAAACAAAAGUGCUUCUUAAAAUUAGUUUUUGUACUUUUGUGACCCCAAUAUUCAGUGUUGUUUUCUGUAUCAGACAAAAUUUAUCUUCAUAUAAGAAAUUACAUGUUCACACCACUGUUGUAAUAUCAGUGUGUCAUAUAGUGCAGAUUUUAUUGUGUUUAUUUGUUCAAAUGUUUAUUUUCCCUUAGAAUAUUUUAUUUACAAAAGCUGUGUAGUUGGGUUUAUUGGCAUGAAAUGCAUUAUUUAUGUAGAGGAUAUGUAUACAUGAACUAUUUCUCUGUGUGUGAUACAAAGUUCAAGUGAUUAAAAAGUGCUUGUUUAAUUUC
rnacentral:misc_RNA from 1 species